rnacentral:tRNA from 1 species
GUUAUCGUGGCCGAAUGGUUUAGGCAAUGUACUAGAAUCUUUUGGGAUCUUCCCGCGCAGGUUAGAAUCCUGCAGACAUCG